rnacentral:rRNA from 1 species
GACGAACGCUGGCGGCGUGCUUAACACAUGCAAGUCGAACGGUGAAGCGCCUUCCUUUUUGGUGGGUGUGGAUGAGUGGCGAACGGGUGAGUAACACGUGAGUAACCUGCCCCCUUCUUCUGGAUAACCGCAUGAAAGUGUGGCUAAUACGGGAUAUUCUGAGUCUGUCGCAUGAUGGGUCUGGGAAAGAUAUUGUUUCGGUGGGGGAUGGGCUCGCGGCCUAUCAGCUUGUUGGUGGGGUGAUGGCCUACCAAGGCGGUGUCGGGUAGCCGGCCUGAGAGGGUGGACGGUCACACUGGGACUGAGACACGGCCCAGACUCCUACGGGAGGCAGCAGUGGGGAAUAUUGCACAAUGGGCGCAAGCCUGAUGCAGCGACGCCGCGGGAGGGAUGGAGGCCUUCGGGUUGUGAACCUCUUUCGCCAGUGAAGCAGGCCUGCCUCGUUUGUGGGUGGGUUGACGGUAGCUGGAUAAGAAGCGCCGGCUAACUACGUG